AUGUCCUUGUGUUAUUUGUCAGAUAUUUUUUAUUAAUCUGGUAAUCGUCAAACAGGACAAACAUAAAAAUUCUAAAAUCUCGUUAUAAAU